GAGGGAGAAGAAAUGGAGGGAAAAUCUCACUCAGUAGAAAAUGGCUGAAACUGGAAGAACAGUUUGGAGUUUUCAGAUUGCAGAGUACAGAUGAGAUCAUAAACUGCUGAGAUUCAGUCUUUUACACUGAUGAUUGACGAUGGAGGACCAUCGCCAGGUAUUUCUCAUCUCUCGCAAUUUGAACUUACUGAUGGGAAUUUAAUCAAACAGUUCGUGAACUCUUGUUUAUCUCUUGUUACUUGCUUGAAACACGGAUUGACUGAUGAAAAUUUGAGUGCACUACACUUCACCAUAGUCAAUCUCAUAUUGUGUUCAUUAUAAUAAAAAAACAAACUCUGGAUCCAUGUGAAAAGAAAUGAUAUCCCAAAUUCUAUAUUACUAGCGUGUCAAUACAUAGAAUAGGAACAUUCUUGUGUUUGCUGGACGUGGAAAGGGAAAGCCGAAAGGCAAGGAGUUGCAACUACAAGCUUACAAAGAGUCAAUAAACAAUGGAGUUAAGUGGGAUAGGCCAUUUACCUUUACAACGAGCCCCACUUGUGUUUCUGUCUAAAUGACUGUCCCCAUUGUAGUUUGAAGCUGUUAAUGCUUUCAGCAUACGUGUGCCUAUGUUCUUUUGACUAAAAAAUUGGAUUGCCAAGGCAUAAUUGCUCUAUAUAGUUUUUUGAUGGAAAGCGAAAUUCAACCCACAACAUGAUUCCGGAGAAAGACUUUUGCAUUCAUCUCCAUAGUCUUACAACCAAAGACAUUCAUCAUCCUUAACCCGUCGUGUGUUACAAACCAAACCCCACCAGUUUUCUGAUAUUGAAAACUUAAAAAAAGAGCAAAAA